AGCAUAUGAAAUUAUCAUUAAAAUUACACAAAUUUAAAGUCUAUACCUCAACUACAAAUAAAGUGAAAGCGGUGCUAGCAAAUGGACAGACGGACAGCAGGAUUUAGUACUAAAAUUUAAUUAAAUCCAAACAGUAUGUAGGUCUUCUUCCCCAAAUGUUCUCUCAUCGAAGUAGGCGAAUAAUUUGGGAGUACAAAAUAAAUAUAAUCAAAGUAGCCUUUGAAUUGAUUUGAGACCUUUAUAAGGAGCAGCUCGACACACAUUUUUCGUUAGUUCAUUUUCAGACUCGCUCCAGUCAACACACAAAUUUUCCAAAUUUUUUGUGUUUUUAUUUAUUUUUUCCUUUUAAAAUAAUUCUGACGAAAUGCACAAACACUGGCUUAUUAUUCCCUUGGAUGUCUGACGAUGGUACCACGGAUUAGCGCUCUUCGUUGAGGUCGUCGUAGAUUCAAGGCUUUCAUUCUUAAGGAGAUCGCAGUUACCGUUGAACACUAAUCUCUCAAUACUUUCAACACUUAAUACCCUGCUGCAUAUACUCUUAUGAUUAUUGAACAUUUCAAGAACACUUUUCUAUACACUUAAAACAAAAAAACAAUUAAAAAUAGACCUCAGU